rnacentral:lncRNA from 1 species
GGGGACAACUUGGACAAAAGCAAGGAAGUAUAAAGAGAAACGGGACAAUAUAAAGAUCAGAUGGACAUGGUCACUAUCUGUAAACGGCUUACAUGUUGAAAUGAGCCUCCAUAGAGCAUCAUGGCAGCAGCAAGGCUUUGCUAAGGCAGUGGAGUAACAUGGACUGGUUUUACCAUCCUGUCUGAAGCAACCAAAGAAAAAACAGACAAGAUAUAUGAAACAGUGGUUUCAAGAAAUUGGACAUCAGGUAGAAGAAGACUGUGAUUCCUGAGAGAUGGGAAACAAAUGAGGAAGGCUGCAGAUGCAUCCGAUGGAAGAAGGGGAAGUGUUUUCUUGCUGACCGCCUUGCUCGCUUCCUGUGCCUAGAGCGAUGGAAUGCUUCUGAGCUAUCAGAUGACUUGUGGAGCCGCUGCACCAGAAGUCACCGGCACCAUUCUGAGAGCUCGAUGUGCAAGUACGAAAGAAGCAAAAGUAAGAAGAGCGAGUUACGGGAGUAUAGACGCCGCCAAACUCAGCUGCUGCCAUGGAAAGGAUCACAUCGUUAGCGGGAGAGUGGAAUAGGCCUUCAAAGAAGUUACCAAACCUCUCGUUAAGAAGUGAAUGCAGUGUGGCAAAGUGUGAACGUCAAGGUCUUCGGGGUCUGAGAACUCUAAAGAUCGCUCUGAGUGAGGUUCUGCUCUUCUGCUUCUUGAUCCUGGAAAUGUUAUUUGCUCACUCCCAGUCUCAUUUUAUCACUUGUAAAAUAGGGGUACUACUAAU